GAUGAAGAACGUAGCGAAAUGCGAUACGUAGUGUGAAUUGCAGAAUUCAGUGAAUCAUCGAAUCUUCGAACGCACAUUGCACCUCUCGGUAUUCCGGGAGGUAUGCCUGUUCGAGCGUCAUUUGUACCCUCAAGCUCUGCUUGGUGUUGGGUGUUUGUUCCGCCUCUGUGUGUGAACUCGCCUCAAAACAAUUGGCAGCCGGCGUACUUGUUUCGGAGCGCAGCACAUUUUGCGAUCCAGAUCAACGUACAGCGGCAUCCAAGAAGCCUUAUUUAACGCUCUUGACCUCGGAUCAGGUAGGGAUACCCGCUGAACUUAAGCAUAUCAAUACGCGGAGGA
rnacentral:misc_RNA from 1 species